rnacentral:rRNA from 1 species
CCUACGGGAGGCAGCAGUGAGGAAUAUUGGACAAUGGACGCAAGUCUGAACCAGCCAUGCCGCGUGCAUGAAGAAGGCUCUAUGAGUUGAAAACUGCUUUUGUACGAGGGUAAACGAAGACACGUGCAUAUGUCUGAGAGUAUCGUACGAAUAAGGAUCGGCUAACUCCGUGCCAGCAGCCGCGGGAAUACGUAGGAUUCAAGCGUUAUCCGGAUUUAUUGGGUUUAAAGGGUGCGUAGGCGGUCGGAUAAGUUAGAGGUGAAAUCCCGAGGCUCAACUUCGGAAUUGCCUCUGAUACUGUUCGGCUAGAGAGUAGGAGCGGUAGGCGGAAUGUAUGGUGUAGCGGUGAAAUGCUUAGAGAUCA